rnacentral:rRNA from 1 species
UACGUAGGUGGCAAGCGUUGUCCGGAUUUACUGGGCGUAAAGGGCGUGCAGGCGGUCUGUUACGUUCAGGGUGAAAGCUCCCGGCUCAACUGGGAGAGGUCCUUGGAUACUGGCAGACUUGAGGAGGGUAGAGGAGAGUGGAAUUCCCGGUGUAGUGGUGAUAUGCGUAGAUAUCGGGAGGAACACCAGUGGCGAAGGCGGCUCUCUGGGCCCUACCUGACGCUGAGACGCGAAAGCGUGGGGAGCGAACCGG